GCAGUACCAUUUAUUCAUCAAUACAUGCAUCUAUCCAUCCAUCUAUUCACCUAGAUGUUAACAGAGAAACAGAGAAGAAUACAGAGGUAGAAGAGAGACGGGACAGAGAAGAAGAGUUCCCAUCGGGCGUCUAGGCAGGGCGGCCAGAGGCGGCGGGCUGCCCGUCCAGCGGGGUCGCGAGGAGCGAGGCGACGGAGCUCCCGUCCGGCGGCGUCGUGAGGAGGGGUGCUGUCGGUGUUCCCAUCUGGCGGCGGCGAGGCGGGCCGUCGUGAGGAGAGGGGCCGCCCCAAGGCGAGAACCGGCGUGUAGGCUGGGCUGCCAGGGGGUGGCCGGUGGCGGGCUGGUGGAGCUCCCGCCGCCGCUAGCGCUCGUGGGGAUCGAGCGUUUGCUGGGCCGUUCAGUCGUGCAAAAGGGGCAGUUUGGCUGUAAAUUAUUCCUCCAAUAGGGGUACUCUCAUAUCCGAAACGUUUUCUUUGGUGGGACUUACCAGAAUCUUGGGAU
rnacentral:rRNA from 1 species